GCAUUGUUGGGGUAGUGGUAACCUGGGUCGUUGCCAUAAGAAAUAUGUCUUGACAUUCGACCCGCCCCGGGUUCAAUUCCCGGACAAUGCA